GCAGAGAACAGAUAAAAAAAAUAAGAAAAUUCCAAAGAGAAGAGCAAAGGGGCAUAUGAAGACAAGAAAACAGAGUGCUUCUGCAAAAACAAAGAACAAACCAAACACCAAUACUUAACUGUACUUUUAUUAUUACUACUAGACUCUCUUUCUCUCUCUCUUGACUGAGUUCGCAAUUUGCUGUGCCGCUCUCCUAUCUUCUUUGCACUUCGUUUCUGCUUGCUGGUGCAUCUUGGGAGUGUUUACAGGUCUCUCUUGUCGGUUAAAUCUCUGACUGUGACUGUGACACCACCGUUGAUGCGGAUUGGGGAUCUUACUGAAAGACUAUCUAUAGCUUCCGGAGUGCUCUGUCUUUUGUAAAAUCUGAGGUGAAUUGCUCAUCUCAUGCUCCUCCACUGUUUCUUUUUGUUUGGAGAGCUUAAUUAAUCUCAUCCUUGGGUGGUGGGGCAUUCUAGUAGAUCGUAGCUGGAACCGGUUUCAUUCAAUAGCCUCUGAGCCACCCCCAAGGAUGAUUCCAAUGGAUAGUCACUUUGUACCGCCGAGCACUAGCACGACAACAGGUCUUGUUUUUCCAGCGAAUUACUCUGUUUCCGGGUUACACCCUGCUGUGGAUUCUCCGGUGGCUGGAGGAAUCAAACCUGAAGCUGCUUUGGUCAUGGAUUGGUCUCCUGAGGAGCAGUAUGUAUUGGACAACGGCCUUGCAAAAUUAACAAAUGAACCGAAAGUUUCAAAGUAUGUGAAGAUCGCUGCAACACUACCAGAUAAAACUGUAAGGGAUGUAGCAUUGAGGUGUAGAUGGAUGACGGGAAAACGGAGAAAAAGAAAAGAAAAUAGUGCUGGGAAGAGCAUUAGCAAUAGAAAGGUGGUGGAUACAUCCCCAGAACUGAGCAUGUUAGCCAAUGUGCCACAACAAAACGCUUUAUAUGUCAUGAACAAUAUGUGUCACAGUACACACAUGCCUGGUGAAGGUUCAAGUGAUGCCUUACUGGAUCUUCUACAGCAAAAUGCUCAAGCUUUUAGUCAAAUUUCUUACAAUCUCUCUGUGUGCAAGCUGCAGGAUAACAUCGGUCUCUUUUAUCAGACAAGAAAUAACAUCAGCGCCAUUCUGACUCAUAUGAAGGAGAUGCCUGCCCUUCCUGUUUCAAUUAACGAUGAGCUUGCAAGCCAUUUAUGGUCGAGUACAACUCAGCUAAUAUCGUACACCAUUCAACCAAGCAUCCACCUGAAGCAAGAGCCGAGAAGUUGACAUAUGUGGGAAAGCUGGAUUUUGACGGAUGCUAAAGAAAUUAGCACAAGUACCUCAUAAGUGGAAAUGAUAUCAUGAUCGACAUGUCACAACGGUUUGGUCUUCAGAGGCCACUUAUGUGUAAUACAAAUUCAUGUUUAGUUUUCCAAGAAGACAAGGGUGGAGUUUCAGAGUUCUUGUAGGUAACUAUAUAAGUGACUGAUCUUUCCCCUUUCACAGAAUCUGGACGUCCUAUGGCUUCAAGCUCAGCCAUCUCUUGGGUGGUGAGUUUCACAGAUAACGCUCCAAUGUUCUGAUUAAGGUUCUUGAUCUUGGAGGUUCCUGGGAUUGGGCAGACAUCAUCUCCUUGGUGGUGAACCCAUGCGAGUGCUAGUUGUGCAUAGGGAUGUCAAUUGGGCUGUCCGGACGGAAGUGGACAUGUCCAGAUGGACUUUUUUUUUUUGGGCGUUUUUGGUUUUGAUGUCCAAAUAGGUCUAUGUCCAAAUAGUCUAUGUCCAAAUAGAACCAUGUCCAAAUAGUCCAUGUCCAAAUAGGACCAUGUCCAGUUGGACUGUCCAUGGAGUCCAGUUCGCCCAUUUGAUGUAAAAAAAUAUACAGAUUCUAAAUUUUAUAUAUAACAACAUAUACUUAGAUUAAAACUACAUGUUUGAGCUCGAGAUCGAGAUAAAUUGAGUUAUGGAGAGCUUGAGAUCGAGAGAUAUGAGAUCGAGAGAUAAGAGUGACGGCCAAAUGAAAAAAUGAUUUUUCCCCAAUUAAAAACCCUAGACAUUUUAAUAAUUUGGACGGUCCAUGUCCAUCUGGUCUUGUCCAUUGGUCUUUGGACGUAUUUGGGAGUUGUCCAGUUGGACAACAAAAUAUUUUGGACGGAUUUGGGCAUGUCCAUAUUAGUCCAUAUUAAUUUGGACAUGGACGUCCAUGGACAGAGUGUCCAGUUGACAUCCCUAGUUGUGCAGGAGUGCAGCUUUUCUUUUCCGCCAUUGCGUUUACCUUCUCAUAGAGAAUCUUGUUGUGGUCUAAGUUCUCUUGUUGGAAUCUCGGUAAACCCUGGAAUAGAACAAAACAUAGUCUUAGUAACAUUCAUAAUAAUAUUGAAAUGUGUAAAUAAUAAAGUUAACAUUCAAGUC